CGUAAAUUACCCAAUCCUGACACAGGGAGGUAGUGACAAUAAAUAACAAUGCUGGGCUUUUUUUAAGUCUGGCAAUUGGAAUGAGAACAAUUUAAAUCCCUUAUCGAGGAUCAAUUGGAGGGCAAGUCUGGUGCCAGCAGCCGCGGUAAUUCCAGCUCCAAUAGCGUAUAUUAAAGUUGUUGCAGUUAAAAAGCUCGUAGUUGAAUUUCUGAUUAUGGAUGUAGCGGUUUCCGUUACAUUUGUAGUCAUCCACAUGAGAACCUUUCUCGGCCUUCACUGGUCGGUUGGGGGAUCAUGUACUUUACUUUGAAAAAAUCAGAGUGUUUCAGGCAGGCGUUUGCAUGAAUACACAAGCAUGGAAUAAUGGAAUAGGACUAGGGUCCAUUUUUAUUGGUUAUUGGACCAUAGUAAUGAUUAAUAGGGACAGUUGGGGGGC
rnacentral:rRNA from 1 species